rnacentral:ncRNA from 1 species
UAAUUGAAGAGUUUGAUCAUGGCUCAGAUUGAACGCUGGCGGCAGGCCUAACACAUGCAAGUCGAGCGGCAGCACAAGUGA